rnacentral:rRNA from 1 species
GACGAACGCUGGCGGCGUGCUUAACACAUGCAAGUCGAACGGACAGACAGAGAGCUUGCUCUCUUGAAGUUAGUGGCGAACGGGUGAGUAACGCGUAAUCAACCUGCCCUUCAGAGGGGGAUAACAACGGGAAACCGUUGCUAAUACCGCGUACGAUUCAUGAACGGCAUCGUUUAUGAAUGAAAGGUGGCCUCUAUGUAUAAGCUAUCGCUGAAGGAGGGGAUUGCGUCUGAUUAGCUAGUUGGAGGGGUAACGGCCCACCAAGGCAAUGAGCGGAAGCCGGUAUGACAGCAUGAACGGGCGAUUUGGGACUGCGACACGGCCCAAAAUCCUACGGGAGGCAGCAGUGGGGAAUCUGCCGAAAUGGACGAAAGUCUGACGGAGCAACGCCGCGUGAGUGAUGAAGGUCUUCGGAUUGUAAAGCUCUGUUAAUCGGGACGAAAGAGUUCUGCGUGAAUAAUGCAGAAAAGUGACGGUACCGAAAUAGAAAGCCACGGCUAACUACGUGCCAGCCGCCGCCGUAA